rnacentral:siRNA from 1 species
CAUAUAGUUGGUACAUGUGAGUA